AAAAAGCGAAAUAAGGGCACACGGAGGAUGCCUAGGCAACUAAAGCCGAAGAAGGACGUGAUAAGCUGCGAAAAGCUAUGUUAAGGUGCAAGUAACCGCAAUAGACAUAGAUAUCCGAAUGGGAGAACCUGUAUACUGGGAGAGUAUACACGAGAGAGGUAAGUCCGUGAACUGAAACAUCUAAGUAGCGGGAGGAAAAGAAAGUAAAAACGAUUCUCUAAGUAGCGGCGAGCGAACGGGGAAGAGCCUAAACCAUGUAUGUGUAGAAGUUGGCGACGUUGCAUAUAUGGGGUAGAGGGAUAUAGAAUGAACAGAUAGCCAUAAAGUUUAAGUUAUGUUGUAUGAAGCGGAAUUAGUUGGGAAGCUAAACCGAAGAAGGUGACAGUCCUGUAUAGUGUAAGUAUGAUAUAAUGAUAGAUAUAAUCCCGAGUAGCAUCGAACACGAGGAAUUUGGUGUGAAUCAGCGUGGACCAAAUCACGUAAGGCUAAAUACUUUAGUUGACCGAUAGAGGAGAGUACCGUGAGGGAAAGGUGAAAAGAACCCUGAGCAAGGGAGUGAAAAAGAAUUUGAAACCGUGUGCUUACAAGCGGUAGGAGCACAGCAAUGUGUGACUGCGUGGAUUUUGGUUAAUCAUCCUGCGAGUUAUGAUAUGUGGCGAGGUUAAGUAAGCGGAGCCGAAGGGAAACCGAGUCUUAAAAGGGCGACGAGUCGCAUGUCAUAGACGCGAAACCUAGUGAUCUAGGCCUGUCCAGGUUGAAGCUGGGGUAAGACUCAGUGGAGGACCGAACUCACCGCCGUUGAAAAGUUGGGAGAUGAGAUAGGUUUAGGGGUGAAAAGCCAAUCGAACUAGGAGAUAGCUCGUUCUCUCCGAAAUGCAUUUAGGUGCAGCCUUAAUUUAGAUAUGUGGGGGUAGAGCACUGUAUGAUCUAGGGGGCAUAUAGCUUACCGAAAUCAAGCAAACUACGAAUACCAUAUAUUGAUGAUUAGGAGUGAGUCUAUGGAUGACAAGGUCCAUGGACGAGAGGGAAACAACCCAGACCACCGGCUAAGGUCCCAAAUUAUGUCUAAGUGGGAAAGGAGGUGGAUAUUCAUAGACAACCAGGAGGUUGGCUUAGAAGCAGCCAUACCUUAAAAGAGUGCGUAAUAGCUCACUGGUCGAGAGUAUCUGCGCCGAAGAUAUAACGGGGCUAAGACAUAAACCGAAGCUGUGGAAUUAGAGCGAUCUAAUUGGUAGGAGAGCGUUCUGUAGGCCGAAGAAGGUGUACUGGAAGGUAUAUUGGAGGUAUCAGAAGUGAGAAUGCAGGAAUGAGUAGCGAGAAGGAUGGUGAGAAUCCAUCCGGCCGGAAGUCCAAGGUUUCCAGGGGAAGGUUUGUCCGCCCUGGGGGAGUCGGGACCUAAGCAGAGGCUAAGGAGCGUAUGCGAAUGGAAAAUAGGUUAAUAUUCCUAUACCACUAUAAUCGUUAUUAGAGAAGGAGUGACGCAGGAAGGUAUGUAAGAAGACUGACGGAAUAGUCUUUCUAAGGGAGUAGCAUGAAUAUAUAGGCAAAUCCGUAUAUUUAAAUGUGAGACCUGAUGGGUAAGUACCAUAUGGUAUAAGUUACAGAUCCUACACUGCCGAGAAAAACUUCUAUCGAGAGAAGUAGUGCCCGUACUGAAAACCGACACAGGUGGACAGAGUGAGAAACUUAAGGCCGACAGGAUAACUCUAGCUAAGGAACUCUGCAAAAUAGCCCCGUAACUUCGGGAGAAGGGGUACCUAAUAUACUUGAGUGGAGAGACACCACGAGGGGAAAUAGGUCGCAGUGAAGAGUCCCAAGCAACUGUUUACCAAAAACACAGGUCUAUGCUAAGCUGAAAGGCGACGUAUAUGGGCUGACACCUGCCCAGUGCCGGAAGGUUAAGAGGAGGAUUGAGAGAUUCGAAUUGAAGCCCCGGUGAACGGCGGCCGUAACUAUAACGGUCCUAAGGUAGCGAAAUUCCUUGUCGGGUAAGUUCCGACCUGCACGAAUGGUGAAAUGAUUUGGGAGCUGUCUUGGCUGGAGACCUGGUGAAGUUGUAAUGUCGGUGAAGAUACCGAUUACCUGCAGUAGGACGGAAAGACCCCGUGGAGCUUUACUGUAGCUUGGCAUUGGGUUUUGGCAAUGUGUGUAUAGGAUAGUUGGGAGACUGAGAUACUAAGGCGUCAGUUUUAGAGGAGUCAACGUUGGAAUACCAACCAUAUGUUGUUGAAAUUCUAAUCAUGUAUUUGUAGUAUAUGAGACAGUGCUAGGUGGGCAGUUUGACUGGGGCGGUCGCCUCCAAAAGAGUAACGGAGGCGUUCAAAGGUUCCCUCAGGUUGGAUGGAAAUCAACCGGAGAGUGCAAACGCAAAAGGGAGCUUGACUGCGAGACUGACGGGUCGAGCAGGUACGAAAGUAGGAGUUAGUGAUCCGGCGGUGCUGAAUGGAAAGGCCGUCGCUCAACGGAUAAAAGCUACCCCGGGGAUAACAGGCUGAUACUUCCCAAGAGUCCAUAUCGACGGAAGUGUUUGGCACCUCGAUGUCGGCUCGUCUCAUCCUGGGGCUGGAGAAGGUCCCAAGGGUUGGGCUGUUCGCCCAUUAAAGAGGCACGCGAGCUGGGUUCAGAACGUCGUGAGACAGUUCGGUCCCUAUCCACUGCAGGCGUUAGAAUAUUGAAGAGAUCUGUCCUUAGUACGAGAGGACCGGGAUGGACAAACCUCUGAUGUACCGGUUGUUACGCCAGUAGCAUGGCCGGGUAGUCACGUUUGGAAGGGAUAAUCGCUGAAAGCAUCUAAGUGAGAAGCCCACUUUAAGAUGAGUAUUCUUUUAAGUAACCAUCGAGAACAGGUGGUGAUAGGCUGGAGGUGUAAGUACAGUAAUGUAUUUAGCUGACCGGUACUAAUAUUACGUUAGCUCUUUAUUU
rfam:Leptotrichia goodfellowii F0264 contig00146, whole genome shotgun sequence.